AUACUUACCUGGACGGGGUCAAUGGGCGAUCAACAAGACUCAUGGCCUAGGUUAGUGACUUCCAUUGCACUUUGGAGGGGUGCCUGCCUAAGGUCGGCCCAAGUGGUCGAGCCUACGUCAUAAUUUGUGGUAGCGGGAGCCUGCGUUCGCGCGGCUCCUACCC
rnacentral:snRNA from 1 species